UACGAAGGGGGGCUAGCGUUGCUCGGAAUCACUGGGCGUAAAGCGCACGUAGGCGGAUUGUUAAGUCAGGGGUGAAAUCCUGGAGCUCAACUCCAGAACUGCCUUUGAUACUGGCGAUCUCGAGUCCGGGAGAGGUGAGUGGAACUGCGAGUGUAGAGGUGAAAUUCGUAGAUAUUCGCAAGAACACCAGUGGCGAAGGCGGCUCACUGGCCCGGUACUGAUGCUGAGGUGCGAAAGCGUGGGGAGCAAACAGG
rnacentral:rRNA from 1 species